GUAGGUGGCAAGCGUUGCCCGGAAUUAUUGGGCGUAAAGCGCGCGCAGGCGGUUCUUUAAGUCUGAUGUGAAAGCCCACGGCUCAACCGUGGAGGGUCAUUGGAAACUGGAGAACUUGAGUACAGAAGAGGAAAGCGGAAUUCCACGUGUAGCGGUGAAAUGCGUAGAGAUGUGGAGGAACACCAGUGGCGAAGGCGGCUUUCUGGUCUGUAACUGACGCUGAGGCGCGAAAGCGUGGGGGAGCAAACAGGAUUAGAUACCCUGGUAGUCCACGCCGUAAACGAUGAGUGCUAAGUGUUAGGGGGUUUCCGCCCCUUAGUGCUGCAGCUAACGCAUUAAGCACUCCGCCUGGGAGUACGGCCGCAAGGCUG
rnacentral:rRNA from 1 species